CCUAAUCAAAAGAGAAAAUUUCAUUAAUCAGAAAAUCGAUACGGCUUGCAGUUAGCAUAAACAACGGUAUUCCUGUAAUGUUUCCAGCUGCUGCUGUGUACAGUGCAUCGAUGCGUGAUAUGAAUGCAGUUUCAUAUCGACAUUCUACCGGCAUGUAUAUCCAGGAUCCAAUAUUAUGUACGAGCUUGUGAUUGAUGUCUGAAUCCAGGGAUCCGGCCACACGGUCCAAGUUUUCUUCCGCGAGUGCUGGUGAAUCCGUGCAAGUUAAAAUGCAAGACUAUGUAUUCAGCGCGCCUCAACCACGAAGACUGUAGAAGGAAACUGGCCCAAUUAGAAGCAUGCAGCAGGAAUGUUGUCCUGUGGAUCAACACAGGGUUCUCGAUCAUUUAGCACAUAGGCGCGAUUCAAUAUUCCCGUGUACGGCUGUCGAUCCAUGUCGGAGCUACCUGUGCGAUCACUCCACAUGACCAGCUUGUACGAGGAUAUGAUUAUCGAUUUUGCAGAUAGGAAGAAGAUACCAAUAAUUUUCCCUACCGUAUGUACAUACAUAAUAUAUUAUAUUAUUUUACUGUGCCAUACCUUGCCGGUAAGUAUAAGAAAUCAAUAACCGACAAGCUGCUCCGGUACCGGUAUGAGCGAGUGCAUGCUGCAUAUAACAGUGCCAUAUAUGUGCCAUGCGCAGUGUGCCAACGUUAACACAGUGCACUGGCGAUCGAUAACAGGGAGAGGAGCGGGGAUCGAAGAGUCAAUCAGUAAGCAUCAUUAGUACAGCAUAGGCGUAAUAUCAGGUACUUACCUUAAAGAGGAGAAAUGUUAGUUUUCACCUCUUUACCUGGUCGAUAAAUCACGCCAUGUUU